ensembl:lncRNA
AUGACAACAAGGCUUUAUGCAUAUGUACUCCAAAGUGGCAGGGAGAGUUCUGUCAGACUAACGUCUUUAACUCAAUCGCCUCAUCCAGUACGUCUUAUUUUAACUACAGAGACUUUUUCAGAACAAAAAAUGGUCAACAUGUAUCUUUCUGUCACUACAUUUUGCUCUAAUCGUUGCCUGAUCCUCCCUAUGGCAGUUGGAAUUGCCAUCGGGGUGACCAUACUGGUUGUGGCCCUGUUGGUUGCUCUGGUCUUUGCUGCCAGGCGGAAGUCAAACCUUGUGGAGAGACUGCGGAGCAACUUACCCAGCAUGCCCAGUAUGCCACAAAUGCCUAAGUUCUCUGGCCUCAGGAAUGGAGUCCCUGGAAAUGGUUUGCAAACAGAAGACAGUGAAACACUGGAGAACUCUGAGGCGGUUCCCUGUACGUCAGUGUGGACUGUUGACCCCGUGACAAAAAGCUUUGAGAACCCUGCAUAUGAGGCAGAAGAACCCCCGGCCUCCAACAGCAUCCCGGGAAGCAAGUCGGCUCCUCCAGACACAAACGAGGUCAAUAGGCAGGAAUUUCUGCUUGCUUUAACGCUCAAUGCUGCUUACAUUCUCACUCAGAGCAACAUUCCUACUAUAUUUACCCAUGUAAACCCUCACAAUGCAAAAAUAUUUUUUAAUCCAUACAUUUUCUGCACAAAUGCAAAUAUUACCUAGAGUUUCUAAAUCCUAUUUUUUAAUCAAUUAGGACAACAUUAACAAUCCUCUAUAUGUGGAGGAGGCUCCACCUGUGGAUGAUCCGACCCUAAAUGCAGCAAAAUCCAGCCAGGUUGGUUUCUGCAAGUUUGACAAAACACGUUGAUUGAAAUGUCUUAGAUAUUAGACAUUUAGUGAUCUUGUAGCAUUUUCAGGAUGUUUCAGAGAACCGAGCACAUGGUUUAGCCUUUGAAGGUGUCACUACUACUCCACCUGCAGCACCAGCCUCACAGGUAACCAUGGAGAUACAUAUAAAUGUUGAAACAGUUUUUCUUUUUUCUUAAAAGAUACCUUUUAUAGUUGCACAUAUUUCUUAAUGAAACUUUUGCUUUUUAACCAGGAAAUAAAAGUUGUUGCAGGUGGAAAGUUAGCAUCUUUUCAAAACCCCCUGUAUAAGGUGAGUGAAGGCAUAAAUUACAGACGUAAAGUCCUAAAACAGUUUUUUUAAUCUCAAAUGUUUCAUAACGUCUCCAUAUAUCUGCUUUACAUUUAUUUGUAUUUAUUGUCAUGGUGUUACAGGAAUCUGAAGAUGCUCACCGUUCUGAUUCAGACAUUUGACGGGACCGGUUCACCAGGAUUUAGACAGAGCCAUCACACUGACUCAUUCAUUUUUUUACAGGAUCCUGUUAAAACUCGAUGAAGGGCUUCAUAAAACUGAACCUAAAUUAACCAAAACACUUUGUAGUACAGGAAAAUGCAGUAUUCUGACACUUUGAGAUGUAACCUAAAACUUUGUAUGGAUUGUAUUGUAAAAAUAAAUAAAUGAUAAUCUUGAUUUGAUAUACUAUUCAUUCUUAAUGCAUUAAAGUCAAUGAAAAUGCGUGAACCUCAAUUUAUAAUUCAUUUUGUACCUUAUUGUAAAUUUGUUGUAAAUUCUUCUUAAAGAAAACCAUUAUCAUGUUUUGUCUACUGUUGUUAAUCUGCCUGGAGCUUAACAGUUAUUUUCUGAGUUGGUAAACUGUUUUACGUUUUUAUAUAAAGAUAAAAUGGAAAGGUUUUUCUUU